AGUGAACGCUGGCGGUAGGCCUAACACAUGCAAGUCGAACGGCAGCACAGUAAGAGCUUGCUCUUACGGGUGGCGAGUGGCGGACGGGUGAGGUAUACAUCGGAAUCUACUUUUUCGUGGGGGAUAAUGUAGGGAAACUUACGCUAAUACCGCAUACGACCUACGGGUGAAAGCAGGGGAUCUUCGGACCUUGCGCGAUUGAAUGAGCCGAUGUCGGAUUAGCUAGUUGGCGGGGUAAAGGCCCACCUAGGCGACGAUCCGUAGCUGGUCUGAGAGGAUGAUCAGCCACACUGGAACUGAGACACGGUCCAGACUCCUACGGGAGGCGGCAGUGGGGAAUAUUGGACAAUGGGCGCAAGCCUGAUCCAGCCAUACCGCGUGGGUGAAGAAGGCCUUCGGGUUGUAAAGCCCUUUUGUUGGGAAAGAAAAGCAGCAGGUUAAUACCCCGCUGUUCUGACGGUACCCAAAGAAUAAGCACCGGCUAACUUCGUG
rnacentral:rRNA from 1 species